GAAAAUCCCCCUUUUGGCCAAAUUGAGCACACAUCGGGCAUUUCUCGCUGUCGAUGAGUAUGGGCUUUGGAGAUUAGUCUUCUAGUAGGCUCCAAGACUAAUAGCACAUCUCGAGCCUUCCUUCAUUUGAGCUGCUAAGGUUCAAGCAAGAGCAUCCAGUUGGAGUGGGCGCAGGUCCACAUGCACCCUCAGGAGCACCAUCACUAGUAUCCUUAUAUGCAAUCUAUCGCAGAUCUUGAGCAAAGAAGGGUUCUCUUGGUUGGCCCCGCCCGUAGGGCAUGGUAUUUGGGGGAUAGGAUCUAUGGUUGGGAGAGAGGUCCCAGCAGGCGCCAUAUGCCUUUAUCUCUUCCACUAUCUAUGUUUUGGUGGGUUGACAUCACCGAUGAGGAGCUGGCAGCCUGAAGGGGUAUGAAAACCUUGAGGAUCUUACCAUUUGAUCUUAGUGUAUGGAUUAUACCUCCUUCAUUUCUCAACUGCUAGGGCCUGUGCCCUUGGAUUGUGAGACCCUCGACUCAACUUCUGAGUCAAAGGGGCAAUCUGCCUGUUGACCACUCACAUUACGGGCUCAUUGAUAUUCGCUACCUUUAAGGCGCCUCCUACAGCGACAUCAGAUGUGAUCCCGGGGAGUAUACUGCUCCUUUUGUACCCAAUGGUGUCGUACUAGAGUGUUCUGGUACCAUCAAUCACUGGUUGGCUUUAGAGUCGAGCCUUCCUCUAGACUUCACCCCAGCUAGUUGUACCCACAUGAGUUCCCUUUUUUAGUAUUUUACACACUUUUGCUUUUCCUGAAAUUUUAGUAAUAUUUAUACAGAUUCAAAGAGAUUAGUUUUAGCACAUACACCGGCUUACUGCAACCGCAAGAAGACAAUUCUUUAUCAUCAGUGAGGACUGGAGGAGGGAUCAAGAGAGCUUGUAGAGGCAAGUGGAUGACCGUCAGCGUCAGAUGGAGGCUCACCAAUGCCGGAUGGAGACCUUGACUCUCCAGCUGUCCACUCUUUGGACCCAGGGCAUGGAUGCUGACUCUGAUGAGGGGAUAGAGGACUAGGAAGAGAGCUCUGAUGGCUUAUGACUUUAGUUUUCCUUUCUAUAUUUUUUACUUUUGUUGCUUUAAAUGACAUGACUCUUUCUAAUAUAUAAAAAUUCAUAUUUAAUCCUUUAA